AUUCAAAUCUUUCGCUUGUUUAGUUACAAAAUAAGAUAUUUCAAACUCUGAAAUUUCGUUUCUUUACUAAAAGAAUACAAUUAUUAUUAGUCAGUUUGUCUUUAGUCCUUAAAUAUUUGAAUAGGUGCAUGCUGCGUUCUCUUAACUAAGACACUUGUUGUGAGCGGCAAAGCCAGCUGUCGGCAAAAAGAGAUAACGAAUGCUCUUUGGUAAUGCUCUUGUCAGCGAAGAGCAUAGAAUUCACUCUGCAUUCAAGUCUAACAGCACUUUAACAGUACAUGUUGAGCAUAACAGCUCACUUACAGUUCACUUUGAGUACAACAGCAUGACAACAGCUCGUUAACAGCAAUUGAGCAAUAACAUUACCGAAAGCUGUUAGACCUUACCACGCGAAGCACUUGUUGUUGUUGCCCAGGCGCAUUAACAGUCGAGAAUCCAAACAAAAUGUCAACGUAACGGACGAAAGAAGUCGGCGUCGUGCGGCACUCAAAACAGAAAACUAAAAUUAAUUUUCGUCUUAUUUUCGUACGCGUGCGAAAGAUUCCCACAUUUUGUCGGAGUGCCAAAGUAAAAAAAAAAAGAUAAAAACAAAAGACUUAGUGAGCCCGGCGCGCGAUAUUGUUUAUUUUUAGUUUUUAUAAAACAGCAACAAAAAAGUGUCACCAAAUUUCAAAAGAAUUAGUGCAAAAUAAUAAAAGAAGAGUGAAACUAAAUUGUAUAAAUAUUUAUAAAUAAAUUCGUUUAUUUAUGUGAGUGUGCCUUGUUUAUGCCGCCGCAUGCAAACAUUUCAAAGUGUUGAAAACAAAAAUUUGCCGAGAAAAGUUAACUGAUAAGAAGCUGUCUUAUCAAAAGGAAAAAAUUCGUGCAAAAGCUUAAAAGCUGAAAAGAAUUUCUUAAGCUGAAUGUGAGAAAAGUGCGCAAAAUAAUCAAAUAAAAUAUAAUAAUAAUUAAUACCCGCUAUACCUGGAUCUACCAUCAAUUUACAAGUACAAAAACGCGUCACCUUUAUCUGAGAUAAUAAAUACUUCUGAAAAAUGCUUGAGGCAAGGCCGAAAUUUCCCCGAUAUUAGACCAGGCAGCUGCACAUAUUUAUAUACUCGUAUUUACCUUUGUGCUUAAUCAUGGAUCCGAUAAACAAAUGCGUGUCGUUGUGACGUCA